CGGUCGACAAUCAUUGCUUGGAAACGGCAAUUGUUUUCAAUGGUUAUCCAAUAAUCAAAGUCUAACCCAUGAUGUGAAUAAUGGUCGCAAUGCAGGACCGGCUGAAGUGCCGUUUGCCGUAUGGAUUCAGCGGACAGAUAGACAAUAUGGAUCGGGUGUUAUAAUAAAUAAACGAUGGAUAAUGACAAGCGCUCACGUAGUUUACCAAUAUCCAGUUAAUGAUCUAAAAAUCUACCCGGGCAAAUUAGUUAUCAAUUUUAUCGGUUAUAACGAUGAUGGUUAUGAUGUUGAAAAAACAGUUAUACAUUAUAUGUAUGAAUCUAAUCGGCACCCGGCUAAUGAUCUGGCACUGAUUAAACUAACAGCUGACUUACCGCUUAUCAAUUCAAACGUUGGAC